UAUACACGCGUUUAGGCUCUCUCGCAAGAGUCUCACGAAACAUACGAUCCCCAACCUCGAGAGACUCUUCGACUCUUUUGCCCGCAGACGGAAGCGUCCGACUUACCUGUCAGCUCGUGCCCCAUUGACUCUUCGACGAAAAUCAACGCCACACUGUUCACGAAUAAGCUAUCAGGAACACCACAAUUCGCCGAAAAGGCUGUAAAAAGCCGACGAGACAACAGUUUCCCUGAGAAUUCAGGGUUCGCGGACAUUAUGGUCAGCAGCAAAGAAAACUCGGUCGCUUCGUCGAUAUUCACUGUUCAGGAUAUCAACGGAGCGAAGGAAGUGGAAAAUCCAACGGACUUUGAAACAGCCAUCAAACUUUGCGGUUAUGGGAGGUUCCAUUACGGCUUUGUUUUUCUCUGUGGCAUGAUGUUUUUGUGCGUUGGUUGUCAAAAUGGCGUAAACGCUUACAUUCUACCGUCCGCCGAGUGCGACUUGAGGCUGUCAUCGGAGGAAAAAGGACUGUUGAACGUGGCUUUUCUCGUGGGCGGUGUAAUUAGCUCGGUAUUUUGGGGCGUUAUCGCCGACGCUUAUGGACGCAAAAAUAUUCUCGUUGGCACUUUGCUCGUCGAUGGACUGCUCACGCUCUUUGCGAGCUGUGCGCAGAAUUUCCAAGCUCUUCUCAUCUUCCGAGCUAUCAGUGGAUUCACGAUCGGUGCGCCAGGAUCGUUGGUUUACACUUACCUGGGAGAAUUUCACGCGGCAAAGCACCGAGUCAAAAGCAUUUGUUACGUUGGAUUUUUUUGGACGCUUUCGUGGCUCAUCCUGCCAGGACUCGCUUGGAUGAUAAUACCUUUGAGGAUAAAAUGGCAGUACGAAGGUUUCCUUUACAAUUCUUGGCGCUUGUAUUUCGCCGUUAUCGGACUACCGACUCUCGUCGUCGCUUUCGUUCUCAUGAAAUACCCUGAGAGCCCGAAAUUUUUACUCUCCCGAGGAAAAAGCAACGAAGCUCUCGACAUUCUUCGCUAUAUUUACGCCAGCAAUGCUCAACGCGACCAGAGCGUAUAUCCGGUUAAAUAUUUGUGUGCCUUGAACGAGAGCAAAGGACAGGAAAAGAAGAGCAAAGACAUCGACGUGAAAAAAAAUCGUUUCGGUGAUUCGUGCAGUGAUCGGCAUCGCGUCGGUGGAUUCGAAAAUAAUGGCAACAAACCAAGCCUCUUGUUGGAAUUACUCAGAAACGUUUAUCAGCAAAUUCGAGCUCUGGGGUCGCCGCCCUAUUUCAAAUGGGCGCUUCUAUGUUGGACCAUUUAUUUCAUGAACAUGUUUGGGUAUUACGGUUUGGGCCUCUGGUUCCCGGAACUUUUCAACCGGUUCGAAAGUUAUUACAAAAUCCACCCUAACGCAUCGGUGAGCGUUUGCGAGCUCGUAACGCGCCUAAACGAGAACGCUGAUAUUUGGGACAACUCGAGCAUCUCAGAAACGCUCGAUUGCGAUCGCAUAAGCAUCGAUCAGCGAGUUUUUAUCAACACUUUGACCAUCAACGGUGUUUGCCUUCUGGGCAACGUGGCUUCCGGCUACCUCGCUGAUCGCGUUGGACGACGCACGAUUCCAGUGACGACGAUGCUGGUUUCCGGAUUGGCGGGUUUCGCCAUUUACUUCGUUAAAUCUUCCUUCCAAAAUCUGAUCGUCGCUUGUGUAUAUUCACUCGCGAUAACAACGGCUAAUUUCGUCAUCGGAGGGGUCGUCGUCGACAUUUUCCCGACUCACAUUGGCGCCGUGGCGAUUUGCAUGAUGACCUUCUUCGGGAGAGUCGGUGCAAUCGCGAGCAAUCUCGCGUUCGGUAUGCUCCUCGACAUUAGCUGCGAAGUUCCUAUUUUUCUCGUCGGAGGAAUCGUCCUUCUCGGAGGUCUAUUGGCGCUGCUUUUACCACCGGCGAAGAGAUGAACGCCACGACAAAACGCGUAACAUAUCCAAAGAGAGGACGAAAGCGGAUCGUGAAUUAAAACCUUACUCGUGCGCCAUAAUGAUGUUCAACUGCACAAGAUUCUCAUCGAAACGAUUUUAUCAUGGAUUUGCAUUCGAGGAACAUUCAGUGAUAAUAAAACGAACGAGUGUCGUAGAUAAAAUCAAUAUUUAAGCUUUUUACUGAAAAGGAAUCGAAAGCCUACCCACAAAAUCGUUGCAGGAGUCUCCGGUCAAGAAAAAGUUUUACAAAAAUCAUUAAUUUCCAUCAUUCCACGUUCGAGGUCAUAAAUUGUCGAGAUCCGAUGGACGAAUGAAUUUAACUGAACAAAAUCGAAGUAAAUAGACAAAAGUAUUAUCCAAA
rnacentral:misc_RNA from 1 species